rnacentral:rRNA from 1 species
UGGCGAUCGGGUGAGUAACACGUGGGCAAUCUGCCCUUCACUCUGGGACAAGCCCUGGAAACGGGGUCUAAUACCGGAUAAUACUUUCCUCCGCAUGGGGGAGGGUUGAAAGCUCCGGCGGUGAAGGAUGAGCCCGCGGCCUAUCAGCUUGUUGGUGGGGUGAUGGCCUACCAAGGCGACGACGGGUAGCCGGCCUGAGAGGGCGACCGGCCACACUGGGACUGAGACACGGCCCAGACUCCUACGGGAGGCAGCAGUGGGGAAUAUUGCACAAUGGGCGAAAGCCUGAUGCAGCGACGCCGCGUGAGGGAUGACGGCCUUCGGGUUGUAAACCUCUUUCAGCAGGGAAGAAGCGCAAGUGACGGUACCUGCAGAAGAAGCACCGGCUAACUACGUGCCAGCAGCCGCGGUAAUACGUAGGGUGCGAGCGUUGUCCGGAAUUAUUGGGCGUAAAGAGCUCGUAGGCGGCUUGUCACGUCGGAUGUGAAAGCCCGGGGCUUAACCCCGGGUCUGCAUUCGAUACGGGCAGGCUAGAGUGUGGUAGGGGAGAUCGGAAUUCCUGGUGUAGCGGUGACAUGCGCAGAUAUCAGGAGGAACACCGGUGGCGAAGGCGGAUCUCUGGGCCAUUACUGACGCUGAGGAGCGAAAGCGUGGGGAGCGAACAGGAUUAGAUACCCUGGUAGUCCACGCCGUAAACGUUGGGAACUAGGUGUUGGCGACAUUCCACGUCGUCGGUGCCGCAGCUAACGCAUUAAGUUUCCCCGCCUGGGGAGUACGGCCGCAGGCUAAACUCAAAGGAAUUGACGGGGGCCCGCACAAGCAGCGGAGCAUGGUGGCUUUAAUUUCGACGCAACCGCGA